CAGAAUGUAAAAUGAACGUUGUUUUUGACGCCAUGUUGGUUGUCAUCAAGGCGAGAAUUUGACGACGGUGCUGGGAGAAGGAAAUACUUGUCCGAAAUCUACUGUCAUCUGGUUUUAUAUGAUAAUUCACAUACACUAAUUGAUUGGAUGAAUUUCUACUAACACUAGGCCAUUACAGGGUCUGCGUUUUGGAUGGUAUUAAGACUUGAGAGGCGAAAAAUCGAAGUCAUCUGUUCAUAACCUGAAUUUUCCCUUGAGGGUAGUCGGAGAAGAAAGCCAGCGGAGGGACCCAGUCACAGGAGUUCUGGUGUGCCCUCUGAUAGCAAAAACCACAGCUUUAUCUCGUUUUUAUAGAUCCAUAAUAUUGUCCACGGAAUGGCUUGUGGGGCUACUUUGAAAAGGACUAUGGAUUUCGAUCCAUUGAUGAACCAGGCGUCCCCCAAAAGGAGGAGGUGCACCCCAAUGUCUCAAGCUGCCUCGACCUCAUCACCCCAGAAAUAUCUGCGUAUGGAGCCCUCACCAUUUGGAGAAGUGUCGUCCAGACUCACAACGGAGCAAAUCCUGCACAAUAUCAAGCAAGAGUACAAGCGGAUGCAGAAGCGAAGGCACCUGGAGAACAGCUUUCAGCAGACCGAGGGCUGUUGUCCCCUGGAGUCACAACCCCAUAGCUCCAUCCUUAAUGGAUCCAGUCUGCCAGGAACAUCUUCUGGUGCCGUCUCCCCAUCUAGAAAAGAGCAACCUCUAUUUACCUUGAGACAGGUUGGGAUGAUCUGUGAACGACUACUUAAAGAACGAGAGGAGAAGAUAAGGGAAGAAUAUGACGAAAUAUUGACAACAAAACUAGCAGACCUUUUUCUCUCUUUUUGCAGAGCAAUAUGAUGCUUUCGUUAAGUUCACUCACGAUCAGCUAAUGCGGCGAUUUGGAGAGCAACCUGCUAGCUAUGUUUCCUGAGUGACGCCUCAUAUUUGAUGGAAUACCAAUUUCCCAUUUUAUUAUUGCUAAAAGCUUCCCAUUUGAUUCUCUGCCAACCGUAUUCUCCAGAGACUCAGGGGCUCUAGUUGGACUUGUAGCAGUGCCAUAUCUCCCCUGUGGGCUUAGGAUGCCUCAAGCUUCUGUCAGUGGCAACUACGUUCUCUUCUGCGACUGGUAUUUGAGCUGCGGCCUAAAUGGCACCCAAUUUACUACUUUUGGCCAGCGCCCAUAGAGCUACGGUCAAAAUUAGUGCACUAUAUAUAAAAUAGGGUGCCAUUUUGUAUGAAGCCUUGGAGUGCUUCCUGCUGUCAACACAUAUAUGGACCUCUGCUACCUAUUACUCUACCAGUGGCCUCCGUUGUUUUAAUUGCUGUAUUGAUAUUUAUUAGGCUUUUUUUCUUAGGCCUUUUUAUAAAGUGACCUGCCAUUCCCAACUCUGCUAACCUCGUCUUCGAUCUGUUUGUGCUCUUUCCAACUACAUUGCUGUUCUUGUCAAGCUAAGACAAUGAGUGACAAGGAGUUGGCAUUAUAGCCCAAACAGACUGGCACUCAGGCUACAACUCUGCCACCACACAUUUAGAUUUAUCUUGUUCCAUAAACAUGUUUCUUUGUUUCAACAAUGAUGAGACACACCUUUUUUUCUUUUAAUCAAAUCAACCUGUACAGUUGAGGGGUGGUUGACUACAAAAGAGCAGAUAAUCCAAGGAAGCUUCUGGACUGGACUCCAGGAGAGGACAUCCUAGCAUUUAUCAGUUAUGGUUACAUUGUAAUGGUAAAUGGCCUGUGUAAAUUAUGUCGUUUUGCCGGACCUUUGUUACAGUUAUCCUUUUUUUCUUUUAAAGGGGGGGGGGGGUGCUAUUUAUUACCCUGUUUAUUUUACUGGCUAUGUAGCUUAAUGGACUUGGUUUGGGUAAAGCAAAUGAAUAAUAGGUUUACAUUAAAGGGUGUUCUGGUUUCACAUUGUCUUUUUCAUAGUCAAAAAUGCUAGAAUAGUUGACAUCUCUGUUCAAUUUAUCUCUUCCCAGUGUGCCGGAGAAGGUUCCACUUUAGUGAUUUGCUUUUGAUGGUGUUGAUUUUGGACUGUGUAUAAUCUAUCUCCUCCACCAUUUGAGAAGGAGUACUUUGAAGGUAUUUUAUCUUGUCCAAACACAUAAAAAAAUGUUCAUAGUAGCUAGGUUUCCAUCCAGUUGGUGAAUAUUGUAUAAUCUGCAUAAAAACAAUGUUAGUUUUUCCCACCAGAUGUGUUUUCAUCGAAUUGACUUGUUAUGGGUAAAAGGCUGUGCGUGAUGACGUAGUGCACAUACAAAUACAUAUUGUGGUUAAAUUCCCAUGUAUCAAAUAAAAAAUGCAAGUUAAA